AUUGAACGCUGGCGGCAGGCCUAACACAUGCAAGUCGAGCGAGCGGCGGACGGGUGAGUAAUGUAUGGGGAACUGCCCGAUGGAGGGGGAUAACUACUGGAAACGGUGGCUAAUACCGCAUACUCUCGGAUGUGCCCAGAUGGGAUUAGCUAGUAGGUGGGGUAAAGGCUCACCUAGGCGACGAUCUCUAGCUGGUCUGAGAGGAUGACCAGCCACACUGGAACUGAGACACGGCCCAGACUCCUACGGGAGGCAGCAGUGGGGAAUAUUGCACAAUGGGCGCAAGCCUGAUGCAGCCAUGCCGCGUGUAUGAAGAAGGCCUUAGGGUUGUAAAGUACUUUCAGCGGGGAGGCGUUACCCGCAGAAGAAGCACCGGCUAACUCCGUGCCAGCAGCCGCGGUAAUUC
rnacentral:rRNA from 1 species